UAAAGAGUUCUAUAACUCCCAAACCCAUGUGAACAUACCUAACGUUGCCUCGGCAGGUCGCACCUACCUUGUAGCACCCUACCCUGUAGGGCCUACCCGGGAGAUGCGGGUAAGCCUGCCGGCGGCCCACCAAACUCUGUUUGAUAUUGAAUUCUGAACAUAUAACUAAAUAAGUUAAAACUUUCAACAACGGAUCUCUUGGUUCUGGCAUCGAUGAAGAACGCAGCGAAAUGCGAUAAGUAAUGUGAAUUGCAGAAUUCAGUGAAUCAUCGAAUCUUUGAACGCAUAUUGCGCCCAUUAGUAUUCUAGUGGGCAGGACCGUUCGAGCGUCAUUUCGACCCUUAAGCCUUAGUUGCUUAGUGUUGGGAGCCUACGGCAACGUAGCUCCUCAAAGUUAGUGGCGGAGUUGGUUCACACUCUAGACGUAGUAAUUUUUUAUCUCGCCUAUUAGUUGGACUGAUCCCCUGCCGUAAAACCCCCAACUUAUCAAGGUUGACCUCGAAUCGGUUCAGACAAACUCGCUAAAUUGAAGCAUCUUAGUCAGCGAAGGAAAAGAAACCAACAGGGAUUGCCCUAGUAACGGCGAGUGAAGCGGCAACAGCUCAAAUUUGAAAUCUGGCCCUC
rnacentral:rRNA from 1 species